rnacentral:lncRNA from 1 species
AUAAAAUAAGACUAAUUGUUGCUAAAAGAGUGAAAUUGAACUGUAUGUGGCGACAGUAUUUUUCCCUAAUACUACCACUCCAGAAGUGUAGUAUUAAGGAAAAUGGAAUUGUCCUCUGAGAACUAAACUAUAAACUACAUCAUUGUUCAGAUGAGAGAUAUGCAAAAUCGCCCUAAGAAACAUAGGGACUCACGGGUGAGCAAGAUGAGACUCAUUUGAUUGAGAAUAUUCAUAUAUCUAAAGACUUAAUGAAUUAAUUAGCUUGUGGAUGGUGGAGCACAAAUCCAGCCGAGUCACUGGGGCAAAUACUGGCUGUGGCCAUUAGGAACUGUCCAUUAGAGGCUGUGUCUUUUCAGACUCCUCCCAAUAUUCACUUGUAGAGGAGGCACCCAGCUAUCACAGCCUGAUGCCCCUAAACAUUUGAAUCAUGCAAUUAACUCCUCUCCGCUCUGAUUCCAUCUCUACCAGUAACUUUCUGAUGACAAUUUGGCUUUCUGUGUGAUCUACCCGUGGGAAGAAUACAAGUGUUUGGCUACCUUGGUUGUUAUUGAUUCUCAGUGAAAAUUAACAGUUGCUAUGCUGUGUUAGAGACUUGAACCUCCUAGGGCUUAGUCAGCAUGAAUUAGCACCCACUAAUUGUCAGGGUUUGAUAAGAUGAGGCAUCUGGAUGUGUCAGGCUGUUGGCAGGAAGAUAACUGAUUCAAGUGGUGGCUCUUUGUGAGACCUUGACAGCCACACAAGGCUUUCUUGUGACCCGUAUGUAGAUUUCCCACCUUCUGGGCUUCAAUUCCAUUCCAAGAUCUGCCCAUCUAAGAAGUCAGAAAAUCCUAGGAGCUCUCAUUUAUUGCCAUUCCUCAUACUUUGUUUUUAGGGUUUGCGUCCUCAUCUGCCUUUCCAGACCAGCAGUUCCCAAAAGCCAGUGUGAGAACCAUCUGCAUCAGAGUGACCAGUCUGUGAAGAUCAAGCAUAGGAAUGCCAGGACUCCACCCUACAUGUCCUUUAUCUGGGGUGGUGCCCAGGCUUCCCGAUUAUUCUACCAACUCUACCAAAUCCUUGUUCUUCGUUGCACAAUUAGCUGUGAAACAGACAGAGGUUACCUACAAUAAGUGCAUGUCAUUUUGGACUAGCCAUAUUUCAAGGGCUCAGUAUGGCUAAUGGCCACUAUAUUGGACAUCGACGGUCAAACCCAUUUUACAUUCCCCUGACAACUAUGAUUGGUGUGAGGCCUAUGAUGGCCCAACUAGGCUGACAGCAAAGAUCUUUCCUGUUGGCAAAGAUCAUCUUUCUCUCUCCUGCUGGCAAGAACAAGAAAGAAUAAAGGUCUGAUCAACCCAUGAGCUUUCUUGGGAUUUAUGAGGAGAACCAGACUUUGGAUGAAACUGACAUUGAAAUGAGCAGGAUGGAGAGAAAAAUCCUAGGGGUUUGGUGACAAUACUGGGCUGCUGAUUAAACUUGGAGUUUGCCCUGACUCUGAACUUUCUAUUUAGUGAGAUAAUAAUUGUCUCAAUUGUUUAAGCUAGCUUGUGUUGCUUCCAGCUAAAAGAGUGCCAGCUAUAUACAAUGUGCAAGCUGACAUGUUGUCAUGCUCUGACACUGAUGAACACACCCCCACAAGGCUGUGAAGUAGUAGGGGAAGAACUAACCUGCAUGGAGUUGGAAGGGGGGGAAAAACAAAAUCAAACCAUAUGGAAAGCAGUUGAAUUCACUGCAUUAAAUAUACUUUUUAAAAUGUACAACAUAAUAGCCAUAUGUUUAAGUCAGAAUCAUCUGCAAAGCACGCAUGUUCACUUUCUGUUCCAGAGUCAGGCGUCUGAAUUCUGUGAGCAAAGCCUAGAGAAAAAAAACUAAGCCUAUGCCAGAUUUACAGGAAUAGUUAUCUUUAUAAAGACUAUAUGAACUGUAAUACAAAGUUACAAAGCUGAAGGCAAAGCUUUUCAAUAAAGCAAGUGGCUCUCAAAGAGAUACCUUCAAGAGUGUGGUUCUAUGUUUCCCACCUAGUGCUAAGUAAAACAUACAUUUCAAUUAGAAUUAGAAUGUACUUCAGGAAGUAAAUUAUUAAAUGACCUAGCACAUUUUGAUGUUUUUAAAAGCCCAAACUCCCAGCUGUGGAGAACAAUGAGUCUUUAAUGAUAAUUUAUUCCCCUCUUGUUCCCAUGAUUGCUAGAUAGCUGGGGGCCCUAGAUACUUAUUGGGCUCCAGGGACCCAAUGUGGGCAUUGUCAGAGGAGGAUACCAAUUAGCAGGUUUGGUUUCACAAAGAAGCAAAGAUUGCCCUGAGGUGAAAAACUCUGUCUCAGAGAAAACACCCUUGAACUUGAAUUGUCUUUUUUGCUCAUCAUUAGAAGUCAGCAAAGGAUUUAGCCUCUCCCUCACCAAUUCAUUAUCCACACUCUUCAGAAAAAAAAAAAUAAUAAUAAAAUAAAAUAUUUUCUCUUAUUAUGAAGGUGACAAUAAAGACAGUAAGCUUACCACAUGCAGAAAAGAGAGUGACCACUUUCUACUAGUUUUAAUGGCACUAUCACUGCUUCCAAAAAUUGCUUUAGGUCACUUACGGCCCCUGGAGAUAAACAUCUGAGGAUUCUGCAUAAGGUCCUUAAUGGGUGUUUUCAGGACAGCAUAAUUACCUGAGGCUUGUAAGAGUGAAAAGCAUCAGCCUCAAGGUUACUGAAUAAUGUAUGGUUGCCUGUUUGUCUAUUAGAGAGAGAUAAAGAAGAACAAAAAUCCAGUCACCAUAUGAAUCACAAUUUUAUUAUCUUUUUCAUUCAUUUAGUAUUUCAUUCAACACAUUUGAAAGCAUUUAUUAUGCACCAGGCACUGUACUAAACACUUUAGAUUCUAGUAUGAUUAAGACAGCAGAGUUCUACCCAUUGAGAUGUUCACAAUCUAGGUGGGGAAGGACAUGGAGAAUGAAGAAUAAGCAGACCAUUAAUUCCCAGAAAGGAGUAGGGUUACCUCUGGGCCCCUGCGGAGGUCAAUGAAGCUUUGUCUAUGGCCUUUAAGAGCUUUUCAUUU